CACUGCAGAUGGUAAUUGCAGCCAUGAUAUUAAAAGAAACUUAUUCCUUGGAAAGAAAGUUAUGACCAACUUAGGCAGCAUGUUAAAAAACAGCGACAUUACAUUUCCAACACAUGCCCAUCUAUUCAAGGCUAUGGUUUUUCCAGUAGUCAUACACAGAUUUGAACCAUAAAAAAUGCUGAAUGCUGAAGAAUUGAUGGUUUCAAACUAUGGUACUGGAGAAAACUCUUGAGAGUCCUUGGACAGCAAGGAGGUCAAACCAGUCAGUCCUAAAGG